CUGAAUAACUCAGCUGAUCGCAUGGUCCUUGCACCGGCGACGUAUCUUUCAAGUGUCUGCCUUAUCAACUUUCGAUGGUAGUUUACACGCCUACCAUGGUUGUAACGGGUAACGGAGAAUAAGGGUUCGACUCCGGAGAGGGAGCCUGAGAAACGGCUACCACAUCCAAGGAAGGCAGCAGGCGCGCAAAUUACCCACUCUCGGUACGAGGAGGUAGUGACGAAAAAUAACGAGACGGUUCUCUAUGAGGUCCGUCAUCGGAAUGGGUACAAUUUAAACCCUUUAACGAGGAUCUAUUGGAGGGCAAGUCUGGUGCCAGCAGCCGCGGUAAUUCCAGCUCCAAUAGCGUAUAUUAAAGUUGUUGCGGUUAAAAAG
rnacentral:rRNA from 1 species